GACGAACGCUGGCGGCGUGCUUAACACAUGCAAGUCGAACGGAAAGGCCCUGCUUUUGUGGGGUGCUCGAGUGGCGAACGGGUGAGUAACACGUGAGUAACCUGCCCUUGACUUUGGGAUAACUUCAGGAAACUGGGGCUAAUACCGGAUAGGAGCUCCUGCUGCAUGGUGGGGGUUGGAAAGUUUCGGCGGUUGGGGAUGGACUCGCGGCUUAUCAGCUUGUUGGUGGGGUAGUGGCUUACCAAGGCUUUGACGGGUAGCCGGCCUGAGAGGGUGACCGGCCACAUUGGGACUGAGAUACGGCCCAGACUCCUACGGGAGGCAGCAGUGGGUAAUAUUGCACAAUGGGCGGAAGCCUGAUGCAGCAACGCCGCGUGCGGGAUGACGGCCUUCGGGUUGUAAACCGCUUGCGCCUGUGACGAAGCGUGAGUGACGGUAAUGGGUAAAGAAGCAGCGGCUAACUACGUG
rnacentral:rRNA from 1 species